ensembl:lncRNA LINC01539 long intergenic non-protein coding RNA 1539
AUAGAUGAAUAGAAUGAGCAAAAGUUGCAGCACAGCGUGUCACCAGAGAGGAAAAGAAUAUCCUUGCUGUGCCAAGAAAGAAAAGACCAUGGAUCUACUAGUUGCAGAUUUCAGCAGUAAUGCCAAGGGGGCAAGAAGUGACCAGCAGAACAAUUAGGCCAUGGCAACAGAAGCCAACUACAACCCAUGUUCCAAUCUAUGACCUCCCUCUCCUGCUGGUACAAGGAUAUGUAUUCCUUAGAGCAAAGGAUGCAAUGUCAAGCAAGUUGUGAUACCUCAACUAUCUACAAUUUAACACCAAGGAAAGAACACUGUUUGGAGAAAUGAGAAAGAUUAUCAUCAGUGUCUUUCAGAAGUCAUCAAAAGAAGAAAAGGAGAAAAGAGAGGAGAAAGCAGAAAGAUCUGGAGUCUGGGAAGUUCAAGAGCAUGGCACCAACAUCUGGCAAGGGCUUUCAUUCUGCAUCAUCUCAUGGAGGAAAAUAAAAAGGAGGCUGGAUGCUCCUGUGAAGUACGUCUUUUAUCUACUUGCUAUCUUUGCAAUUCCUUCAUGCUACAAUGAGAGAUAGAGUUUAAACCUGAAAACAUUCUUGGAAAAGGAAUCUUCAUUAAUUCAAAUAUACCACAAGAUUCACCACCAUCACUACUCUAAGUAUUUUUCUUCUUGAGAAAGAGAAGGAGAGGGAAAGCAAGGAAGAGGAAGAGAAAGAGAAAUGGAUAAAAACAUGGUCAAGUAGAAGAGUCUGUGAUUUCAGGUAAAUCCAGAUUUGGAGCUUAAAUGACUCAAAUGCUUUGCCUACAUUGAUCCUACAUUCAGGCUGCUUACAUAUCUCUUGGCUUCUCUGAGAACCAGAUUGUCACCACUUAAAGUGUCUUCCAGAGUCCUCACGAGUAUCAGAGAAGGCAUAAUCUGUACACGUGGCUUCAUUUAAAAUGAAAAUAUCAAGCAGUGUCAUUUUCACAAGUAUCCCCACACUGUCUGAGGCUGAAAAGAAGAGUGUAGCUAUGCACACUGCAGUGAGAAGAAAAUUUCAGCUCAAUUGGAGGAUGUAAAGAUUGAAAUACCACUGCUCCUAGUUCUGAUGCAAAAUUGAAAAGAGUGCACUGGGUCUUCAAAUGGCAUAUUGACAAGGAGAAAGAGGAAAGGAUGCCCCAGGACAGCCUGGGGGUCAAGGCUGGGCUCAGGCAUGCCUGGACAAGCCAUGCAAGUUGUCUCCGGACUUGAACCACGUAUCAGAGGAGCUAUUUGAGGAGCCACAUCAGCAUACCUGCUUCUGUGGGCCCCCAGGCUGUGGUGCUCAGCCCUUGCACUAUGAAACAUUUUUUUUUUCCAGAAGCCAAAGCUUUGAGCAUCUCCUCCCAUGUAGAGAGUGUAUAUGUUUACGUCCAUGUCUUUCGCCAUGUGAACGCAUGCAACCACCACCUCAAAUAUCAUAAAUCCUCUCUCUCCCCCUUUCUGUCUGCCUGUUUAUCUACAAUCUGUCUAUUUAAAUUCUUUUUAAACAAGAAGGGAAUAUCUUUAUGCCUGUUUGUAGGGAUAUUCUACAUCCAUCUGUUAUUUACAUCAUUCGUUUUCCUGAGGUGUCUCCAACAAAUCCUGGCUGGAUGCACUGUAUGUGUUAUUAAUAAAACAGCUGUAAAAAUA